rnacentral:rRNA from 1 species
GAUGAACGCUGGCGGCGUGCCUAAUACAUGCAAGUCGAGCGAACAGACGAGGAGCUUGCUCCUCUGACGUUAGCGGCGGACGGGUGAGUAACACGUGGAUAACCUACCUAUAAGACUGGGAUAACUUCGGGAAACCGGAGCUAAUACCGGAUAAUAUAUUGAACCGCAUGGUUCAAUAGUGAAAGACGGUUUUGCUGUCACUUAUAGAUGGAUCCGCGCCGCAUUAGCUAGUUGGUAAGGUAACGGCUUACCAAGGCAACGAUGCGUAGCCGACCUGAGAGGGUGAUCGGCCACACGGGAACUGAGACUCGGUCCAGACUCCUACGGGAGGCAGCAGUAGGGAAUCUUCCGCAAUGGGCGAAAGCCUGACGGAGCAACGCCGCGUGAGUGAUGAAGGUCUUCGGAUCGUAAAGCUCUGUUAUUAGGGAAGAACAAAUGUGUAAGUAACUAUGCACGUCUUGACGGUACCUAAUCAGAAAGCCACGGCUAACUACGUG